GUAUCUAAUCCUGUUCGCUACCCACGCUUUCGCACCUCAGUGUCAGUACAGAUCCAGGAGGCUGCCUUCGCCAUUGGUAUUCUUCACAAUAUCUACGCAUUCCACCGCUACACUGUGAAUUCUACCUCCCUCUAUCGUACUCUAGUGAAUCAGUUUUGGAUGCAGUUCCCAGGUUGAGCCCGGGGAUUUCACAUCCAACUUAAUAAACCACCUACGCGCGCUUUACGCCCAGUAAUUCCGAUUAACGCUUGGACCUUCCGUAUUACCGCGGCUGCUGGCACGGAAUUAGCCGGUCCUUAUUCUGAUGGUAAUGUCACGGUUAUUGGGUAUUAGCCAAUAACUUUUCUUCCCAACUUAAAGUGCUUUACAACCCUAAGGCCUUCUUCACACACGCGGUAUGGCUGGAUCAGGCUUUCGCCCAUUGUCCAAUAUUCCCCACUGCUGCCUCCCGUAGGAGUCUGGGCCGUGUCUCAGUCCCAAUGUGGCGGAUCGUCCUCUCAGACCCGCUAAAGAUCGUAGCCUUGGUGAGCCUUUACCUCACCAACAAGCUAAUCUUACGCAGGCUCAUCUAGUAGCGAAAGCUUCAAAGAGAGGCCUUCUUUCUCCCGAAGGAGGUAUACGGUAUUAAUCCGAGUUUCCUCGGGCUAUCCCCUUCUACUAGGUAGAUUCCUACGCGUUACUCACCCGUCCGCCGCUCUACUCAUAUCCGAAGAUACUUUCUCGCACGACUUGCAUGUGUUAAGCCUACCGCCAGCGUUCAAUCUGAGCCAGGAUCAAACUCU
rnacentral:rRNA from 1 species